rnacentral:lncRNA from 1 species
CUUUCCUCAGAUUCCAUUGAAUCAUGAGCCUCUGAAGCAGCAGUCCUCGUCCUUGACAUCUUAAGUAUCUAGAAAAGAACGCUUGCACUACAACUGUGGAGGAGACACAGAAGCAAGAAGCAAGUGGGGAGAGAGAAUAGAACCGGGGAAAGGUUGGAAAAGAAACAAUAAGAGGCCGAUAGAAAAGAAGAAUAAAAGGUUUGAAUUGACGCUCUGCCAUAAUGCGGCAAAAAAAAGGAAUCCCAAAGUAGUUUAACAAAAAGAAGACAAGCAAUAGACAAAGCGAGAAGAGGGUAACGAAUGCUCAACAGGUUGAAACAAAAUAAAAAGAAAGAAACGAAUGACCCUGAGAGCGGAAAAAAAAAAAACCAUGAUAUCAUAGGCCUUGGUUAGAUGCAAAGAAGGUUAAAAAUCAUGGCAACAUAAAAGAUAAGAAGGUCAUGAUUAGCAUAAGCAAAAAGAAGAGCUAAGACAUAGUAUCUCUGAAUAAUCCACUUUAGAAAACUCCGGCUCCAUGUUAGAUCUGCCAAUCUAACCUGUUAAGAGAAUCCUCAGCUUAUAACUACAAUUCUAUUUGAUUACUCAGACAUUUACACAAAUAGAACACAAUGAUACCAACCAAGAACAACAAUCAAAUACCCGUACAGAGCUAAAACUCACAGUAAUAUCAAUCAAAUGUGUUUCAGCUACACUUAGCAGUCAUUGGCAAAGAUAACACAAAGGAGGGAGCAGAUUCAGUUUUAAAUUAAAGAAGAGCUUAGGAAAACCCCAAUUUCAAAAGAAAAAAAUUCGGAUCCCCAACCAAAAAGAUUCAAGCAAGGAGACGAAGAGAGGAGCAAUGAGAUGAAACAAGACAGAGCGAGAGGAAGUACCUGAAGAGAGAGAGAGAGAGAGAGAGAGCUGCCGGAAGAAAACCCUAAUUUUGGAGAAUUGCGGAGAGGAUGAGGAAGUGUUUCGCGCAGCUCAGGCUGAGAAUAUGUAAAUGUGUU